AACGAACGCUGGCGGCAUGCCUAACACAUGCAAGUCGAACGAAACCUUCGGGUCUAGUGGCGCACGGGUGCGUAACGCGUGGGAACCUGCACUUAGGUUCGGAAUAACUCCCCGAAAGGGGUGCUAAUACCGGAUAAUGUCUUCGGACCAAAGAUUUAUCGCCUUUGGAUGGGCCCGCGUUGGAUUAGCUAGUUGGUAGGGUAAAAGACUACCAAGGCGACGAUCCAUAGCUGGUCUGAGAGGAUGGUCAGCCACACUGGGACUGAGACACGGCCCAGACUCCUACGGGAGGCAGCAGUGGGGAAUAUUGGACAAUGGGCGAAAGCCUGAUCCAGCAAUGCCGCGUGAGUGAUGAAGGCCUUAGGGUUGUAAAGCGCUUUUACCCGGGAUGAUAAUGACAGUACCGGGAGAAUAAGCCCCGGCUAACUCCGUG
rnacentral:rRNA from 1 species